UACAGAGGUCUCAAGCGUUGUUCGGAUUCAUUGGGCGUAAAGGGUGCGUAGGCGGCGCGGUAAGUCGGGUGUGAAAUCUCGGGGCUUAACUCCGAAACUGCAUUCGAUACUGCCGUGCUUGAGGACUGGAGAGGAGACUGGAAUUUACGGUGUAGCGGUGAAAUGCGCAGAUAUCAGGAGGAACACCGGUGGCGAAGGCGGAUCUCUGGGCCUUACCUGACGCUCAGGUGCGAAAGCUAGGGGAGCGAACAGG
rnacentral:rRNA from 1 species